ensembl:lncRNA
ACCCCCCUGCAGUCUGCGGUAGUACGGAGAGCAUGCAGAGAGCAAGGGUUACCUCAAGGCUGCUCCGUGGACCACGCACACAAGUCUAGACCGGUGACCCUGCAGAAGCGCUGCCUUUCAGGGCGAGGCGAGCUGGGUCAGGAGGAGGAGAAAGGUGAGGCGUGCCCUCCUCUCUUUUCAGCGAGGGAGCAGCCCACUGCCACCGGGAGUUCCAUCAAGUUGAAACAUGAAACCCAAAGGGAGAAGGCAUGUUUCUAGACUGGUGGUGUUUCAUCUCUGUUAAACUGGUCUCCACCGUGAACAGGGAAGGACACGCUGCCCUAUUGGUUGUUAAAACUGAAGCGUGCCAGGUAUCGUCCAAUAGGAAUGACUCGGAAUAUGCUGUUGCCAUAUCCAUUUCAUAGAAUCCACAGAAAGUGGCAAAGGUACACCUCUAUUUUGAGCCAAGUUUAAAUAUGUUUUCAUUCAACCACAUGUUUACACACACUCACAGGCAACUGAAAAUGAUUGUCUAAUUGUGUAUUUUGUUCUCUUAAUAAAGACCCUGGAUACUGAACCGGCCUUACUUCU